UGGCCAUAUCACGUUGAAUUCCCAUACGAUUACCGAAGGUAAGCAAUAUCGAGCCUAAUUAGUAUCUAGAUGGGUGACUGCCUGGGAAUACCAGUUGCUGUAA